rnacentral:rRNA from 1 species
GAACUGAAGAGUUUGAUCAUGGCUCAGAUUGAACGCUGGCGGCAGGCCUAACACAUGCAAGUCGAGCGGUAGAGAGAAGCUUGCUUCUCUUGAGAGCGGCGGACGGGUGAGUAAUGCCUAGGAAUCUGCCUGGUAGUGGGGGAUAACGUUCGGAAACGGACGCUAAUACCGCAUACGUCCUACGGGAGAAAGCAGGGGACCUUCGGGCCUUGCGCUAUCAGAUGAGCCUAGGUCGGAUUAGCUAGUUGGUGGGGUAAUGGCUCACCAAGGCGACGAUCCGUAACUGGUCUGAGAGGAUGAUCAGUCACACUGGAACUGAGACACGGUCCAGACUCCUACGGGAGGCAGCAGUGGGGAAUAUUGGACAAUGGGCGAAAGCCUGAUCCAGCCAUGCCGCGUGUGUGAAGAAGGUCUUCGGAUUGUAAAGCACUUUAAGUUGGGAGGAAGGGUUGUAGAUUAAUACUCUGCAAUUUUGACGUUACCGACAGAAUAAGCACCGGCUAACUCUGUGCCAGCAGCCGCGGUAAUACAGAGGGUGCAAGCGUUAAUCGGAAUUACUGGGCGUAAAGCGCGCGUAGGUGGUUAGUUAAGUUGGAUGUGAAAUCCCCGGGCUCAACCUGGGAAC